rnacentral:rRNA from 1 species
UAUGCUGUCGCACGGGCUCAGACCCGUGGCGAAUAGCUCCGUAACACGUGGUCAAACUACCCUCUGGACCGGGACACCCUCGGGAAACUGAGGCUAAUCCUAGAUACUGCUUUCAUGUUGGAAUACAGAAAGCCGGAAAUGGUCCGCCGCCGGAGGACGUGACUGCGGCCGAUUAGGUAGACGGUGGGGUAACGGCCCACCGUGCCGAUAAUCGGUACGGGUUGUGAGAGCAAGAACCCGGAGACGGACUCUGAGACAAGAGUCCGGGCCCUACGGGGCGCAGCAGACGCGAAACCUUUACACUGCACGACAGUGCGAUAAGGGGAUCCCGAGUGCGAGGGCAUACAGUCCUCGCUUUUCGUGACCGUAAGGUGGUCUCAGAAUAAGGGCUGGGCAAGACCGGUGCCAGCCGCCGCGGUAAUACCGGCAGCCCGAGUGAUAGCCACUCUUAUUGGGCCUAAAGCGUCCGUAGCUGGCCGAACGGGUCCGUCGGGAAAUCCACCCGCUCAACGGGUGGGCGUCCGGCGGAAACCAGUCGGCUUGGGACCGGAGGACCUGCGGGGUACGUCCGGGGUAGGAGUGAAAUCCUGUAAUCCCGGACGGACCGCCGGUGGCGAAAGCGCCGCAGGAGGACGGAUCCGACAGUGAGGGACGAAAGCUUGGGUCUCGAACCGGAUUAGAUACCCGGGUAGUCCAAGCCGUAAACGAUGCUCGCUAGGUGGUGGCGCAGGCUACGAGCCUGCGCUGUGCCGUAGGGAAGCCGAAAAGCGAGCCGCCUGGGAAGUACGUCCGCAAGGAUGAAACUUAAAGGAAUUGGCGGGGGAGCACUACAACCGGAGGAGCCUGCGGUUUAUUUGGAAUCAAGGCCGGACAUCUC